rnacentral:rRNA from 1 species
UUUGAUCCUGGCUCAGGAUGAACGCUGGCGGCGUGCUUAACACAUGCAAGUCGAACGAUGAAGCCCAGCUUGCUGGGUGGAUUAGUGGCGAACGGGUGAGUAACACGUGAGUAACCUGCCCUUGACUCUGGGAUAAGCCUGGGAAACUGGGUCUAAUACCGGAUAGGAACGUCCACCGCAUGGUGGUUGUUGGAAAGAUUUAUCGGUCAUGGAUGGACUCGCGGCCUAUCAGCUUGUUGGUGAGGUAAUGGCUCACCAAGGCGACGACGGGUAGCCGGCCUGAGAGGGUGACCGGCCACACUGGGACUGAGACACGGCCCAGACUCCUACGGGAGGCAGCAGUGGGGAAUAUUGCACAAUGGGCGAAAGCCUGAUGCAGCGACGCCGCGUGAGGGAUGACGGCCUUCGGGUUGUAAACCUCUUUCAGUAGGGAAGAAGCGAAAGUGACGGUACCUGCAGAAGAAGCACCGGCUAACUACGUGCCAGCAGCCGCGGUAAUACGUAGGGUGCGAGCGUUAUCCGGAAUUAUUGGGCGUAAAGAGCUCGUAGGCGGUUUGUCGCGUCUGUCGUGAAAGUCCGGGGCUUAACCCCGGAUCUGCGGUGGGUACGGGCAGACUAGAGUGCAGUAGGGGAGACUGGAAUUCCUGGUGUAGCGGUGGAAUGCGCAGAUAUCAGGAGGAACACCGAUGGCGAAGGCAGGUCUCUGGGCUGUAACUGACGCUGAGGAGCGAAAGCAUGGG